AUUGAACGCUGGCGGCAUGCUUUACACAUGCAAGUCGAACGGUAACAGGGUGCUUGCACCGCUGACGAGUGGCGAACGGGUGAGUAAUGCGUCGGAACGUGCCGGGUAGUGGGGGAUAACGCAGCGAAAGUUGUGCUAAUACCGCAUACGUACUGAGGUAGAAAGUGGGGGACCUUCGGGCCUCACGCUAUUCGAGCGGCCGACGUCUGAUUAGCUAGUAGGUGAGGUAAAGGCUCACCUAGGCGACGAUCAGUAGCGGGUCUGAGAGGAUGAUCCGCCACACGGGGACUGAGACACGGCCCAGACUCCUACGGGAGGCAGCAGUGGGGAAUUUUGGACAAUGGGCGAAAGCCUGAUCCAGCCAUGCCGCGUGUCUGAAGAAGGCCUUCGGGUUGUAAAGGACUUUUGUCGGGGAGGAAAUCCCCAGCGUUAAUACCGCUGGGGGAUGACAGUACCUGAAGAAUAAGCACCGGCUAACUACGUGCCAGCAGCCGCCGUAAUAC
rnacentral:rRNA from 1 species